rnacentral:rRNA from 1 species
AACGGGUGAGUAAUAUAUCGGAACGUACCCAGUAGCGGGGGAUAACUACUCGAAAGAGUAGCUAAUACCGCAUACGCCCUACGGGGGAAAGUGGGGGAUCGCAAGACCUCAUGCUCCUGGAGCGGCCGAUAUCUGAUUAGCUAGUUGGUGGGGUAAUAGCCCACCAAGGCGACGAUCAGUAGCUGGUCUGAGAGGACGACCAGCCACACUGGGACUGAGACACGGCCCAGACUCC